UAGAGGACUGCUAAUUGAAGGGCUUUGAUUUCCUGAGAAAACCCAGUUCCCUCAACAAUAGAGGAGAUGCUUUUGCAAAAGGACCGCACCAAGGACUCUUGACCACUGAGGCUGC